AAAUAUAGGGACAUUACAGACAGAUAAUUGAUUUUAAAAAAACCGAAACCAGCGCAGAAGCGCUAGCUCUGCCCGCGUUGGAAGGGACGGUGAUUUGUCUCGGAAAAAUUCAGCACUACGAAAAAAUCCCUCUGCAGUCUGUGUCGCCUUGGAUCGAUAGGAUACCAUAAAUUGCCUGGUGCCUGUCACCGACGAGCAGUACUGUGGAGUUAGUUUAUCUUUACAUUAAAUCUGGGACAUAUUAACUGUUCCCUGGUCUAAAGCCCGUCUGCUCUGCCUGCUCCAGCCGCGACUGGAGCUGAAGGAAAUCAGAUGUGCGAGCGCGGUCGAAACGCGCUAAGCCGGCGGAUCCUGCAGGAGUUUAGACGCCGUCGCGGUGGGGACGGGCGCGGUGGGCAGAGCAAGGCAGGGGGCGGACGGCGCCGGGGCCGGGGCGCCCGGGGAGGCUCCCGCCCGCCCACGGCGCCCUCCGCGGCCCGGCUCCGCGCCCCCGCCGCCCCCGCGCAGCCGGGACGCCCGCGGCACCGCCACCGGCGCCCCCGCCCCGGCCGGGCCCGCAGGGAAGGAAAUGCAAAGGGACGUUUAUGCGUGGAAAAAAUGCGACGCGCAAAACAAACAAGCAAGGUUACUUAAGGACUUUAUGGCCACAAAACAACUCCGUAGGCUGCUUUAGAAGCUGCCUUUACGGUCGCUGUUUGGAAGACUUCCCUUGAACGGUGCGCGGCUGUCGCUGCAGAAUCGGGCCUCCUUUUCCCUCGCAGACACUGGCCGCCUCGACGAGCUCCCCUGAAACAUGACACUGCUCCGAGACGCCAUAUAAAAGAAUAGGCUUUGUUGGAGAGAUACAGGCGAGAGGGGCAGAAAACUCAGCAGCCUCCGUCGGCAGGGCCAAGCAAUGGGAUCAGCUGCCCGGGAAGGGCUCGGGCUUGCAAGCGACACGCGAGGCGCCGCGUUCAGCUGAUACUGGCCGCUCCGGAUUUUUACAAACAGCAUUUCUUCUGAGCGACAGAAAAGCCGAGCCUCUAGGCGAAAGCCAUUAAUGCUUUUCUCGUUUCCAGGGAGGGGUAUUUCACCAUCAGCUAUAAAUAAACCGAAAUAAUUGUA